UCUUGAUCUCUUGACCUCGUGAUCCGCCCUCCUCAGCCUCCCAAAGUGUUGGGAUUACAGGCAUGAGCCACCACUCCUGGCCUGUACAAGUUUUUAUCCACAACCUGUUUCUCUUCUUCUCCUUUCUCCCAGGGCAGUCCCAUUUCACAUCUAUAAUUUCUAGUACCACCUGUAUACUCGGGGCAACAAAGGAUGUAUCUCUAACCUAGAUUUCUCCCUCAGGUGACAGUCCUGGAUAUCUGACUGUUUUCUGGACAACUCUUGGAUGAUCUGAAACUGAACGAUUCAUUCCACAAAUAGUUGGUGCUGUGUGCCUAGCCCAUCAUAGAUGGUGCCCCUUCAUUCCUGCAUCUGAUGAAUCCAGGGAACCCUCUCUGCAACACCCUUGGCCUCUCUGCGACUUUCUAACAUCAAGCAGAGUCAGAGGCACCAUCCCCAGACUUUUCAGAAGCUACAAAUCUUCAGCAUUCUUCACUCUGUGAAGUCAGAGAAAUGGAGGGACCAUAGCUCUGAGCUCAUUGGCAAAUACAACUAAUUUCAAUUUCUGGAAUGGAAGCAGUCAGAUAUUCUUCUAACUGCAUGCGUAUGUGGGAGUGCCAUGUCGAAGAGUGGAAAAUAUGGAAGAUCAGUCCCUACAAACUUCACAGGAGAAUGACAUUCAGAUUUCCCGAGUAUUUUGCAUGUCCAACUGAAAACUGAAGUAGGUUUAUGAGAAAAUGCAUGCCUACCUGGAUGGGUCUGGGGAG